AUUGAACGCUGGCGGCAGGCCUAACACAUGCAAGUCGAACGAGUGGCGGACGGGUGAGUAAUGUCUGGGAAACUGCCUGAUGGAGGGGGAUAACUACUGGAAACGGUAGCUAAUACCGCAUACCAUCGGAUGUGCCCAGAUGGGAUGAGCUAGUAGGUGGGGUAAAGGCUCACAUAGGCGACGCUCCCUAGCUGGUCUGAGAGGAUGACCAGCCAAACUGGAACUGAGACACGGUCCAGACUCCGACGGGAGGCAGAAUUGGGGAAUAUUGCACAAGGGGGGAAAGCCUGAUUCAGCCAUGCCGCGUGUAUGAAGAAGACCUUCGGGUUGUAAAUUACUUUCAGCGGGGAGGCGUUACCCGCAGAAGAAGCACCGGCUACCUCCGUGCCAGCAGCCGCGGUAAUUC
rnacentral:rRNA from 1 species